CACACCUGAGAAAGGUAGGCCUGUGGAGUGAAGCAGAGCUACCCUGCUAAAUCCAGCUGACUCCCAGACAUAUGAGGAAGCGGAUGCAUAGCAAGUUUAAAUAGCUUGCAGAAGGACACACAGUUUGCAAGUGAAGGAGCUCAAAUUCAAAGACUGGCAGUCUGCAUCCAGAGUUGAUCAUCUUAAAUACCAUGCUGAACCGGUUGCUCUCAAAGUCUAAACAGUAUUUUUUACAAUAAGAUAUCCUUUUGUAGGUCAACGAAUAGUUUCUAAUUCUUUUUAAAAUAAAAUACAAUGAACUGAAUACAA